rnacentral:rRNA from 1 species
GAUGAACGCUGGCGGCGUGCCUAAUACAUGCAAGUCGAGCGAACAGAUGAGGAGCUUGCUCCUCUGACGUUAGCGGCGGACGGGUGAGUAACACGUGGAUAACCUACCUAUAAGACUGGGAUAACUUCGGGAAACCGGAGCUAAUACCGGAUAAUAUAUUGAACCGCAUGGUUCAAUAGUGAAAGACGGUUUUGCUGUCACUUAUAGAUGGAUCCGCGCCGCAUUAGCUAGUUGGUAAGGUAACGGCUUACCAAGGCAACGAUGCGUAGCCGACCUGAGAGGGUGAUCGGCCACACUGGAACUGAGACACGGUCCAGACUCCUACGGGAGGCAGCAGUAGGGAAUCUUCCGCAAUGAGCGAAAGCCUGACGGAGCAACGCCGCGUGAGUGAUGAAAGUCUUCGGAUCGUAAAACUCUGUUAUUAGGGAAGAACAAAUGUGUAAGUAACUAUGCACGUCUUGACGGUACCUAAUCAGAAAGCCACGGCUAACUACGUG